rnacentral:rRNA from 1 species
CCUACGGGAGGCAGCAGUGAGGAAUAUUGGUCAAUGGGCGGGAGCCUGAACCAGCCAAGUCGCGUGAGGGAAGACGGUCCUAUGGAUUGUAAACCUCUUUAGGCGGGGAGCAAUGCCGGGCACGCGUGCCCGGAGGGAGAGUACCCGCAGAAUAAGCAUCGGCUAACUCCGUGCCAGCAGCCGCGGUAAUACGGAGGAUGCGAGCGUUAUCCGGAUUUAUUGGGUUUAAAGGGUGCGUAGGCGGAUUUUUAAGUCAGCGGUAAAAUGUCCGGGCUCAACCCGGGCCGGCCGUUGAAACUGGGGAGCUUGAGUGGGCGAGAAGGAUGCGGAAUGCGUGGUGUAGCGGUGAAAUGCAUAGAUAUCACGCAGAACUCCGAUUGCGAAGGCAGCAUACCGGCGCCCGACUGACGCUGAGGCACGAAAGCGUGGGGAUCGAACAGGAUUAGAUACCCCAGUAGUC